rnacentral:rRNA from 1 species
UACAGAGGAUGCAAGCGUUAUCCGGAAUGAUUGGGCGUAAAGCGUCUGUAGGUGGCUUUUUAAGUCCGCCGUCAAAUCCCAGGGCUCAACUCUGGACAGGCGGUGGAAACUGUCGAGCUAGAGUCCGGAAGAGGCGAGUGGAAUUCCUGGUGUAGCGGUGAAAUGCGCAGAUAUCAGGAGGAACACCAAUGGCGAAGGCAGCUCGCUGGGACGGUACUGACGCUGAGACGCGAAAGCGUGGGGAGCAAACAGG